rnacentral:lncRNA from 10 species
AGGUGAUAGAAUCCACCCUGCCUCUGACAGCAUCCAAUCUGGAGCAAAGGCUUAUUUCAACCCUCCCCCAAGCUCCCAAUACAAGCCCAAAUUCUGGAACAGGUCCUUUCCAACACCUCCUUCAGAGAAGCUCCCUGGCUCCAGGCAGUGCUUGCUCCCCUCACUGCAGCAGGAAGCCUAACUUGCGAACUGCAGGUGUGCUCCAGGUGGUCACUGGAUGCAAGGCAUUGACAGAUGGAUCCCAUCGAUACCCCCACUGCAAAACCAUAGUGCAGUGAAUAGAAGACACUUCUCUGCACCCCAAAAGCUCCAUGCUGAUUGUGAGAAGGAAAUGCUGGAUGGAGGGGUUCCUGGAACUACUGUGAGGGAUGAUACUCCAAAUUGAUACUUAAUAUACAGAAAUGACUAUCAUGGACAUAACCCACAACAUGUGAAAUGUAUGGCUCAUUCUACUGACAUUAUACAGGAAAGUUAA